rnacentral:tRNA from 1 species
AAAUAAGAAACAAUAAUUGUGAUUAGUUUCGACCUAAUAUUUUGAUGACAAGACUCAUCCUUAUUUU